AGUCAGUGAUGACCUUAAAAUGUAAGAGUAGUGAUCAGAAGUGAUUUCUGACGAACAGUUCUCUGAGACU
rnacentral:snoRNA from 1 species